rnacentral:rRNA from 1 species
UACGAAGGGGGCUAGCGUUGUUCGGAUUUACUGGGCGUAAAGCGCACGUAGGCGGAUAUUUAAGUCAGGGGUGAAAUCCCAGAGCUCAACUCUGGAACUGCCUUUGAUACUGGGUAUCUUGAGUAUGGAAGAGGUAAGUGGAAUUGCGAGUGUAGAGGUGAAAUUCGUAGAUAUUCGCAAGAACACCAGUGGCGAAGGCGGCCAACUGGACCAAUACUGACGCUGAGGCGCGAAAGCGUGGGGAGCAAACAGG